rnacentral:sRNA from 1 species
ACUAAUUGACUUAUAUUAAUGGAUGAAAACCCCUAAACCAUUCACCUACUUAUCUCAUUCGUUGUUCGCCUAGUUAACAAAUUUGAUAUUGUUCAAUCAAUUACAUCUGAGAUAUCUUAAAGAGAAAAUGGUUUAUUAGCUUGUUUAGUCCAUUACAUGCAAAAGUAUCUAAAACUCCUGAAAGUGAAGACGACAUCAACAACAACUAUGUCAAACCCAUAUAAAGAAGAAUUGUAACCUCCUAGUGUUUCUCCUGAUCGAUAAUACCAACAACAUAUAAUGUCUUACAAACAACCUUACUAUUAGAGUUCGUACUUCUACGUACAACCAUAUAAUCAUCAAUUUUAUGCUCAUAAAAGCAUUGGUUGUGGCUUUUGGGACUUUGAAACCUUGGACAUGCCACAACAUUUUGAUCUCGCAAGUCUAUUUAACACAGUAAAUGGAGCAGUAAAGAAGCUGAACCACUCUUAUUCGAUUAGAAAAUUUCAUGCUAUUAGGAUGCCACAAAGCAUUUUGAAAGCAAAUAUUUGCCAAAUAUAACUAUAUUUUUCAAAUAAGCUAGAUUUCUAGUCUUUGAACAAAGGAUGCACAAAACGACAUUUGUUGUGAAAUAGAGGGAGUAAUAAUUUUUUUUUUUAGCUCCUUUAGAUUCAAUGAAUCAUAUGGUUCGUAGAGAAAUUAAAGUUGAGGUUUUGAAGUGAAAAUGAUAAAACUUUAAAUAGUUAGGUGAUAUAAACAAAAAAACUAAAGCAUGGUUCAACUAUAGUUUGAUUUUUCAACCUCAAAGCUUAGACAGUGGUAGGAGAAAAGUGUAUCAUUUCACGAACUCUCACAAAUAUAUCUCCUAACCGAAUAUUUAAACUGAUUUCAGAAUUACAUACAUAUAAAGUAAAAGUAGCAAAUAGAUAAAAGAGUUUUAAAUAGAGAUAUUCUUUUCCGUACAACAUGAUUCCAACCUUAAAAUAAUUAUGUAUUCUAGAAUCUACUAGCCACAUAAUGGACAUUCAUAUAAAAAUAAGAU